rnacentral:pre_miRNA from 9 species
UCUCGAUAGCGUAAAAGUUAAGUCAAAUUUGUAUGGAGUUGGAACGUUUGCCUAUGUUUGCCGAUUCUGUUCCAGCUGCAUACAAAUCUCAGGUAACUUUUACGCUAUCGA